rnacentral:rRNA from 1 species
CGCGUAGGCGGGAUGGCAAGUCGGUCGUGAAAUCCUUCGGCUCAACCGAAGAACGUCGAUCGAUACUGCUGUUCUUGAGGGUUGCAGAGGAGACUGGAAUUCCCGGUGUAGCGGUGAAAUGUGUAGAGAUCGGGAGGAACACCGGUGGCGAAGGCGGGUCUCUGGGCAAUUCUUGACGCUGAGGCGCGAAAGCGUGGGGAGCAAACGGGAUUAGAUACCCCGGUAGUCCACGCUGUAAACGAUGACGACUAGGUGUGGGGGGGGUUCAGUCCCCUUCCGUGCCGCAGCUAACGCAUUAAGUCGUCCGCCUGGGGAGUACGGCCGCAAGGUUGAA